GUGUGUGUGUGUGUGUGUGUGUAUGUAUGUAUGUACAUAUGUGUAUGUAUAUUAAAUUAAUAUUAAAUUAAUAUUGGCACCCUUGGUAAAUAUGAGCAAAUAAGGCUAUGAAAAAUUGUUUUUAUUGUUUAACCUUUUGAUAUUUUGUUCAAAAAAUUCACAAACGUACUCCGCUCUCAUGGAUAUAAUGGUUUGUUUGACUUUCAUACACCUCUCAUGAAGCAUUCAAAUCUACUGAAAGAUAUCCAUAGGAAAGUGAAGAAAGUGAAGAAAAAGAAGACUUUUGGUUUUCCAAAAGUAGCAGGAACAUCAGCUCUGAAAUUGGGGGAGGCAACACGUUCUUUUAACCAACCUUCUGAUUUUUGGAGUUCUAAACAGGUACAUUGUUCAUCAAAUAGGAAGGGACCGUCAUGGGAUGACCAUGGGAGGAUCUCUCUCGGCACAGCAGUGACACUGACACGUGAUGCUGGCAUGAGUAUAUCAGAAGCGUUCUGCUGCUGAAGUGAAAUCGAAUGUGUCCAGUGUUUCUCUACAGCUUGAGAUGUACACCAGCCUGGUGACCUUCUCCUCCUGAUGCAGGAUGUAACACGUUACAGGAGGGAAAAAAAUGCGCAGGCAGAGACCUUAUUUAGGUAUGCAAUUACGAACGUACUUUAUUUAAUGCAUGUCUGCUUCAUGUCGAUAUUUUUACCAGACAUUGUGUCCGAUAGUUUUGGAUUUUUUCACACAUUAUCAAACUUUUUAAUGGGCGAAAAACAGUAUUUACCAUCUAACAGAAACUCUGGUACAGUUAUGUAAAAACCAGACAUAAGUAUAGUAACAAAGGAAUUGCCAAACAGGAACGGACAUUUAACUUGGCUGUAUUAUAAACACUCAGAACAGUCAACAAACUUGACUAUUAACCUCCAUGGCCUGCAUCACCUCAUAAGUGGCACCAUGAUUACAGCAAAGUGAGUCCCACUUUUAACCAGGGUCGCUGUUAUUUUCCAGGCUUGUUAAGCCCUACUAUUAAAUCACUCCAAAAAUCAAAGAGGAUAACAAUUGCCCAGUGACUACGCAUCAAACUGUCGGCUAUACAUAAU
ensembl:lncRNA